rnacentral:rRNA from 1 species
UUUAAAGCGAAUAAGGGCGUAUGGUGGAUGCCUUGGGUCUGAGAGGCGAAGAAGGACGUGGUAAGCUGCGAUAAGCUUCGGGGAGCUGCACACAAGCAUUAUAUCCGAAGAUUUCCGAAUGGGACAACCCAGCACACUGAAGGUGUGUUAUCCGAAAGGAAGCCAACCUCCUGAACUGAAACAUCUAAGUAGGGAGAGGAAAAGAAAAUAACAAUGAUUCCCUGAGUAGUGGCGAGCGAAACGGGAAGAGCCCAAACUUAAGCGGCGUGCCGCUUAGGGGUUGUAGGACUGCAUUUAGAAAAUCUCAUCAAAUUGAACCUUCUGGAAAGUUGGGCCAUAGCAGGUGAUAGCCCUGUAGAUAGAAAUUGAGAUGGACGAGCAGUAUCCUGAGUAAGGCGGGACCGGAGGAAUCCUGCCUGAAUCUGCCGGCACCAUCCGGUAAGGCUAAAUACUCCUCAGACACCGAUAGUGAACCAGUACCGUAAGGGAAAGGUGAAAAGUACCCCGAAACAGGGGAGUGAAAUAGUACCUGAAACCGUACGCCUACAAGCGGUCGGAGUCCAGCAAUGGAUGACGGCGUGCCUUUUGCAUAAUGAUCCUACGAGUUACUCCUCACUGGCGAGGUUAAGUUCUUCAGUAACGGAGCCGAAGCGAAAGCGAGUCCGAACAGGGCGCUUAGUCAGUGGGGGUAGACGCGAAACUUUGUGAUCUAUCCAUGGGCAGGUUGAAGUUCUGGUAACACAGAAUGGAGGACCGAACUCAUUAACGUUGAAAAGUUAUGGGAUGACCUGUGGAUAGGGGUGAAAGGCCAAUCAAACUGAGAGAUAGCUCGUUCUCCCCGAAAUGUUUUUAGGAACAGCCUCGGAUUUAAGAAGUGUAUAAGAGGUAGAGCUACUGAUUGGGCUAGGGGGCUUCACCGCCUACCAAACCCUGACAAACUCCGAAUGCUUAUACAUAUCUCCGGGAGUGAGGCUGCGGGCGCUAAGGUCCGUGGCCGAGAGGGAAAUAACCCAGAUUAGCAACUAAGGUCCCUAAUACGUAGUUAAGUUGAACAAACGAGGUGAGACUUCUAUAACAGCCAGGAUGUUUGCUUGGAAGCAGCAAUUCAUUUAAAGAGUGCGUAACAGCUCACUGGUCGAGAGGUCUUGCACGGAAAAUGAUCGGGCAUCAAACUACGAACCGAAGUUCUAAAAUUGUACUUGUACAAUUGGUAGGGGAGCAUUGAAAUCUGCUGCGAAGGUGUCUGGUGAUGGAUGCUGGAGCGAUUUCAAAAGAAAAUGUAGGAAUGAGUAGCGAUAAAAGUAGUGAAAAACUACUUCGCCGUAAGUCCAAGGUUUCCUGAUCAAUGUUAAUCAGAUCAGGGUUAGUCGGGUCCUUAGGGAAAGCCGAAAGGCGCACCUGAUGGCAAGUUGGUUAAUAUUCCAACACUUGUUUAUGUUUCGAUGGGGUGACGGGGUAGUGAAAGAUCCGCCUGGUUACGGAAUACCAGGUUAAAGCGUGUAGAUAUAUUUUUUGCAGGUAAAUCCGCAAGAGAUGUCGAACGUGAUAGUACCGCAAAGCUUCGGCAGCGUGGAUAGUGAUCCUAAUCAGACCUCCGAGAAAAACCUCUAAGGCUAGGCAUAAACAACCCGUACCGUAAACCGACACAGGUGGACGGGAUGAAUAUUCUCAGGCGCUCGGGUGAGCCGUGGAGAAGGAACUAGGCAAAUUGACGCUGUAACUUCGGGAUAAAGCGUACCAUCUUCGGAUGGUCUCAGUAAAAUGGUUCAACCAACUGUUUAGCAAAAACACAGGGCCCUGCAAAAUCGAAAGAUGACGUAUAGAGCCUGAUACCUGCCCGGUGCUGGAAGGUUAAGGAAGGAUGUUCGGCGCAAGCCAAAGCUUCUGACUGAAGCCCCAGUAAACGGCGGCCGUAACUAUAACGGUCCUAAGGUAGCGAAAUUCCUUGUCGGGUAAGUUCCGACCUGCACGAAUGGUCUAAUGAGUUGAACACUGUCUCCUCCACGAGCCCGGUGAAAUUGUAGUAUCGGUGAAGAUGCCGGUUACCCGCCACGGGACGGAAAGACCCCGUGAACCUUCACUACAACUUUGCAUUGAUUUUGA